UACGUAGGGGGGCAAGCGUUGUCCGGAUUUAUUGGGCGUAAAGAGCGUGUAGGCGGCUAGGUAGGUCUGCUGUGAAAACUCGAGGCUCAACCUCGAGACGCGGCGGAAACCAUCAUGCUAGAGUCCGGAAGAGGAGAGUGGAAUUCCCGUGUAGCGGUGAAAUGCGCAGAUAUCGGAGGAACAACCGAGCCGAGGACGUAGCGGCUCC
rnacentral:rRNA from 1 species